CUGGAAUUCUACACUGCAAAAUCUAAGUUAAGGACAUUGUGAUGGUUAAUUCUACGUGUUAACUUGAGUGGGCCACAGGGUGCUCAGAUAUUCAUUUAACAUUAUUCUGGUUGGAAGCAGAAUCAACAUCCUCUUGGUUCCAUUUCUCUGAACCCUGACUAACAUAGUGCUGGUUUAGUGUGCUGUGGACAAAGGGAUGGAGCUCUGAAAUAAAGGCAUAAUUUGUCUCAAUAAAGAGGCAAGCCAGGAUAAAACUCUCUGCUGUUCUGUUUCACAGCCUCCAGCAGGAGCAGGGCAGAGGUAUUCCUACUGUCCAAUUCACAGCAAUGAUCAGGAGAACCUCUGGGGUCAACUGCCAACUUCUAUUCAGCAACUUCAAAGAAAGAAACUAUAUCAUCAUUUUCUAUAACAUCAGGAAAAGAAAAUUUAACAUGAACUAAUUUCCUAAUUGGUAGUGUUGAAUUACCAUCAAGUAUAGCACAGCACCAGGGAGCUAAAACAGCAUAUACACACCCUCAGGACUGACCAGCAUCUGGAACACAUGUGCAAGACGCAUUUUUGCAGAGUGACCAGAAGAGAGCGCUUCAGCACCACAUACAUGCAUAAGCCCUACAAA